rnacentral:lncRNA from 1 species
UCAUCCAUUGUAAUCCAUUUAUAGUAAAAUAAUUUCUUGUACAUUAGAGUAAGGAAUUCCUAUUACGUGCUCUUACAAACAGAGACUAAUGAACAACAUAGGGCAUACCACACCGCAUUAUUUACUAAGCCUCCAAGGAAAUCGGGACAAUCUCAGAGCUAAACCAAGAGACAUAUACACAUAUAUUGAUCCUUAUGGUAGUGGCUUUAAUGGAGCCUCCAGACGGUAGCAACAGACAAGUAUUCGACUAGUUAUAUAAUAAAGUGAGAGUAUGCUUUGAGCAUAUUAAUUCUUCUGUUAUGUUAUAUGAACUGUUCGAAAUUUGGGGCCCUAAUUCGUUUUUUGCCCAGGGCCCCAAAUUUUGGGUGACAACCUUGAUCAAAUAGAACACCUAAAAUUGUCCAUUAUUGGAACUUGAAUGCCUAUCACAAGAAGGUUUUAUUACUGGACCACAUCAUUAUCCAUCGUUGAACAUCAUGACCUAGUACAGUUCUAGGACUCACAAACAACACAGGCACAAUGCCAAAAGUUUGGGAUGACUUCCCUACAGUAAGAAUUCGAGACUUCUGGUCCCCAUUUUCUCAUGCAGGAUAAUUGACAUUUUAAUUUCGUGCAUAAAGUGGCUCCAAAUGCAAUUCCAGUAAAGCAUUGCUCUGUAGAGAAGAACACACAUCAUUAAAAGAAGUCCAUAUUGAAAAAAAUCCAAGAAAGUUUACGUAGUUUGGGUGAAAAAUAUUAUUCUACUCUAGUUCUCAUGAGAAAGGAAAUAAAAAGGGAAAUGGAGAUCAAUAUCAUACCAACAUGAAUGGAAUUUCCAAGCUGCGCAAUCACCAUGAGGCAAAGAAGUAUAGCUUUCCCUUCCAUAAGACCGGACACAAAGUUCUUCUUCUCCUC